GAUGAAGAACGUAGCGAAAUGCGAUACUUGGUGUGAAUUGCAGAAUCCCGUGAACCAUCGAGUCUUUGAACGCAAGUUGCGUCCGAAGCCAUUAGGCCGAGGGCACGCCUGCCUGGGCGUCACACGUCGUUGCCCCCCCAUCUACUCCUUCGGGAUUGCGGGGGGCGGAUGAUGGCCUCUCGUGCGCCUCGUCGCGCGGUUGGCCUAAAUGCCAAGUCCUCGGCGACGCACGCCACGACAAUCGGUGGUUGCGAAACCUCGGUUGCCUGUCGUGUGCGGUCGUCGCGCAUCGAGGGCUCGAAAAAAUUGCCGGGCUUCGGCUCGACUUUCAACGCGACCCCAGGUCAGGCGGGGUUACCCGCUGAAUUUAAGCAUAUCAAUAAGCGGAGGA
rnacentral:misc_RNA from 1 species